UGCUUGAUGAUGUAAGUGUUCUAUUGUUCUUCCAUCAAUUUGCAUAUGUGCAUUCGAGUGAGCGUGCAUCAGUGCAUCUUGCACUCUUGUGUUUAUGCACUUAUGUUCAGUAAAUGCAUGUCAAUCAUGUUCAUGUAGCACACAUAUAUGUAUGUUGGUACAUUUAGUCACCUGUAGACACCCCCUUGAAUUGUAUCAUUAUUUUUUUGGUUUAUUGAGUGUGGUACUAGCUCCUGUGUUUUUUGAAGUAUAUUUUAACCCAAAGCUUAGUUGAAAUGUCUAUCCACCAACAGAUCUUUUGGCCCCUCGCCUCUUUUGUUUGAACAUGAAAUUGUAGCUGUAUUAGUGUGUGUAGUGAUAUCAUAGAGGGAGAAUAUUUCAGCAGAGGUGUAUUCAUCCUUUUUUCUCUUAAGUCUUUUAAUUAUAUCCCCUUUUAAAGUUAAUGUUGUUCAAAAUGGUGACUUGCUACUUCCUAUCAUGGUUCUGUUGGUACAGUGUGACAUUAGUAUUGUUUGAUUUUCUUAGAUUUGUGAUUGUACUAGUUUGUUGUGUAUGCUCCUUAAUUUAUUUUCUAGUUUUCAGAGAUCAAGUACGGUUAGAGAAUAUGUAGGCAAAGGCCAUUACGAAUAUAUAAAAGGCAGUUGUGAUUUGUGAAACAGAUUAGGAGGCAGUUGUGAUUUGUGAAACAUAUUAGCUAACCGGAUCCAAAUAAUUAAUUGAUACUAUGAUCCUGUUCUUGAAUAAAACUCAAAAAAGUAUUUGGAUGGCUAUUUUGAGAUUGAAGUUUUCAAGAAUGUAUUUGGUCUUAUUACUUGAAAUAAUAAUUUUUUUCAAAAUGGCAGGACAACUUGUCUUUCCCCCUUAUUUGUCAGGACUGGAACGCAGAUGAGGAAAUACUUCUUCUUGAGGGUAUAGAAAUGUAUGGGUUGGGAAACUGGGCUGAACUGGCUGAGCAUGUUGAUACGAAGAAUAAAGAAACAAUGCAUCAACCAUUAUACCGCCUUGUACAUGAAUUCUCCAAGCUAUCCUCUUCCGGAUAUGUCUCGCGUUAAUGGAAAAAAUAGAAAGGAACUUCUUGCUAUGGCUAAAGCACAGGGCGAGGGCAAGAAAGAAAGGCGCAUACACACUUUGCCUUGGACUCCUCAACAAAUUUGGCCAUCUCCAGAUUGAAGCUCUGAAGGAGGUAUUUUUGAUGGCUGCAGGCAUCUCCUAACAACAGAUUUCAAAAAUCUGUCAUGGUCCGUGGGGAUGUGAGGCUUAACAUUUCUUUGCUUGCAACUUUUUCUUACCUCAGCACGCGUAGAGGUUUUGCCUUAAGAUUAAUCAAGCAAGGGUUUAGGGUUGAACAAGUGAUUGCUAGUCAAGGGACUGAUGAAGAGAGAGUUGGAUCACAUGAGCUGUUGUGGUUGCUAGUAAAUUUUUUUUUUUGUAUUCACUCCUGUAUAUUUUAAGUCUUUGUAUUAGCCACUGAGAACUGGUUGUAUUCAUUUAACUCUAUAUAUGUUGAAGCAUCAAUUUUGACAUUGUUUAUGUAUUAUUUAAUAAUAAAAAUGAUUUUUUU